CCGGCAAGCCCGGCAGAAUCACCCUACCGCCCCGCACGGAAAACCUCUCCUCCCGCAUAACACCCCAACCCGACCUCGCCGGCGGCGAGCGUGUGCCCAUGGCGGACGGCGGCGAUAUGGACGAGGAGGCGAUGCGGGCCUUCUUCCCGCUCUCCUUUGGCAAGACCGCCGCGCGCCCCACCUCCGCGGCCUCCUCCUCCGCCCAUUCCUCCACCCUCCGCAAGCCCCAAAACCCUAGUAACCCCAAGCCCUCCUCCUCCACCGCAGCUGACGACGACGGAGGCGCCAUGAUUGGUCCCCCUCGGCCGCCGCCGACGCCCGCGGGGGACGACGACGAUGAAGAGGAGGGCGGCGGCAUGAUCGGGCCGCCUCGGCCCCCACCGCUCUCCGCUCACGGCGAGGGGGAGGAUGACGAGGGCGGCUGCAUGAUUGGACCGCCUAGGCCGCCGACAGCGGAGGAGGACGAAGAGGAGGAGGAGAACGACGACGACGACGAUAUGGAGGACGACGGUGAUGGCGGGUUCAAUAGGAUCCCUCUCAGCAACGAAAUUGUUCUGCGGGGGCACACCAAGGUUGUCUCAGCCCUUGCCGUUGACCAUACAGGAUCCAGAGUGCUCUCUGGUAGCUAUGAUUAUACAGUGCGCAUGUACGAUUUCCAGGGUAUGAAUUCAAAACUGCAAUCAUUCAGACAAUUGGAACCCUUUGAGGGCCAUCAAGUUCGUAGCCUAAGUUGGAGCCCAACGUCCGACCGAUUCUUAUGUGUUACCGGUUCUGCUCAGGCCAAAAUUUAUGACCGUGAUGGCCUCACGCUUGGCGAGUUCGUUAAGGGUGAUAUGUAUAUUCGUGAUCUAAAGAAUACAAAGGGACACAUUUCUGGGCUGACAGGUGGGGAGUGGAAUCCAAAGUCAAAAGAGACUAUUCUGACCUCAUCUGAAGAUGGUUCAAUACGUCUCUGGGAUGUGUCAGACUUUAAAAGUCAAAAGCAGGUCAUCAAACCAAAGCUAGUAAGACCAAUGCGGAUCCCUGUUACAUCAUGUGCAUGGGACCAUGAAGGAAAACGAAUCGUGGGUGGCAUAGGAGAUGGUUCGAUACAGCUCUGGACUAUAAAAACUGGAUGGGGUAGCAGACCAGAUAUCCAUGUUGAGAAAACACAUACAGAGGAUAUUACUGGAGUUAAGUUUUCAACAGAUGGACAGAUUCUUCUGUCAAGAAGUAUGGAUAGUACUCUGAAGAUAUGGGAUCUGAGAAAAAUGAAAACUCCUUUGAAAGUGUUUGAAGAUUUGCCAAAUCACUAUGCUGAGACAAAUGCAGCUUUUAGCCCAGAUGAGCAACUUAUUGUUACAGGAACCUCUAUUGAAAAGGAUGGUGACAAUGGGGGACUACUCUGUUUCUUUGAUAGAAAGAAACUUGAGCUUGUAUCAAAGGUGGGGAUUUCACCACAUUACAGUGUGAUACGGUGCCUAUGGCAUCCAAGGAUCAACCAGGUGUUUGCUACAGUUGGGGACAAGAAAGAAGGCGGGAGUCAUAUCCUUUAUGAUCCUUCUAUUAGUCAGAGAGGAGCUCUUGUAUGUGUUGGACGAGCACCAAGGAAAAAGUCUGUCGAUGACUUUGAGGUGCAACCUGUCAUACACAAUCCACAUGCAUUGCCACUUUUCAGAGAUCAACCAAGUCGUAAACGUCAAAGAGAGAAGAUACUAAAGGACCCGCUCAAAUCACACAAACCAGAAGCACCUGUUAAUGGUCCGGGUUAUGGUGGAAGAGUUGGUACUUCAAAAGGCAGCUUACUGACACUGUACCUCUUGAAGGAAGGUGGUUUAAUUAAGGAGACCUGGAUGGAUGAAGAUCCAAGAGAAGCAAUUUUGAAGUAUGCUGAUGCUGCAGAGAAAGAUCCAAAGUUUAUUGCGCCAGCUUAUUCUCAAACCCAGCCAAAACCUGUCUUUGCAGAGUCUGAUUCAGACAAUGAAGAGAAAUAACCAUGUGUCUGGUUACCUAAGCUAGCAUACAACCUGUAUUCGAUUUUCUGACAGCUGUCAACUUAUUGCGCAAGUCCUGUAACCUGUUUCCUAACAGUGGAGAAACAAAAGAGUAUGUAUAUGGAUCUUGAAGACAAAGUUUGCAGAAUUAACUGUUGGGAGAGGGAGAUUCUCUGUUUCUCUUUGCAAUAUCUGAUGGAAGAGUUGUUGCAAGAGAACAAGGAGUACGAGGUGGCAUAGGCAUCCGUUGAGUUCCCUGGCAACUGAAGCAUAUCUCAGCACUUUCAUGUGGCAUUAUGUGGUCCCUGCAAUGCAUUUUCUCUACCCAUGCACUCUUGAUCACAGGUACUCUCUGUAUUUGGUUAGCAUUACACAAAUGUAACUAUUGUGUGGGAUGCAGCAAAUGUUCGGCCAGCUUCCAUUUUCCAGAUGUUGUAUCAGUAUGCAGCUGAUGUUCGGCCAUUAUCCAUUUUCCAGAUGUUGUAUCAGUUACCUUUUUUUAUGGAAAUGUGUAUUUCUUUUUCUUUGUAUCGUUUAUCUGUUGCCAGUGCUGCAACCUGAGAAACGAUGGUACUCGCCCGCACCCUGUUUCUGUUCACAAUUGAGCAAACUCACUUUGGCAAGUUGGUGGCAAUCUUGUCAGCAUCAUCUGAUAUAAUUUGAGUUUUUCCCCUUAA